GGCCUGCAGCUGUGCCAGCAGCUCAAAGACAAGAUCUGCGUCUUCUCCCAGUACAAGGACUUCACGGUGGGGUCGCGAUCCUCCAGUCCACUCGCCCCCUAAUCUCACGCCUCACCGUCAAUUUCUAGGUUUAAUUAGCGAUAGCUAUAGAUAUUUGACCCCCACUCCUCCCGCGUAGCUUAUGUAAUCUCUUAGACUCCCCCUAGUGGCGUAAGCGACCCGACGUCAAUAAACUAUAGCAAACUUG
rnacentral:lncRNA from 1 species